rnacentral:rRNA from 1 species
GAUGAACGCUGGCGGCGUGCCUAAUACAUGCAAGUCGAGCGAACAGACGAGGAGCUUGCUCCUCUGACGUUAGCGGCGGACGGGUGAGUAACACGUGGAUAACCUACCUAUAAGACUGGGAUAACUUCGGGAAACCGGAGCUAAUACCGGAUAAUAUAUUGAACCGCAUGGUUCAAUAGUGAAAGACGGUUUUGCUGUCACUUAUAGAUGGAUCCGCGCCGCAUUAGCUAGUUGGUAAGGUAACGGCUUACCAAGGCAACGAUGCGUAGCCGACCUGAGAGGGUGAACGGCCACACUGGAACUGAGACACGGCCCAGAGUCCUACGGGAGGCAGCAGUAGGGAAGCUUCCGCAAUGGGCGAAAGCCUGACGGAGCAACGCCGCGUGAGUGAUGAAGGUCUUCGGAUCGUAAAACUCUGUUAUUAGGGAAGAACAAAUGUGUAAGUAACUAUGCACGUCUUGACGGUACCUAGUCAGAAAGCCACGGCUAACUACGUG